rnacentral:rRNA from 1 species
AGUGAACGCUGGCGGUAGGCCUAACACAUGCAAGUCGAACGGCAGCACAGUAAGAGCUUGCUCUUACGGGUGGCGAGUGGCGGACGGGUGAGGAAUACAUCGGAAUCUACUUUUUCGUGGGGGAUAACGUAGGGAAACUUGCGCUAAUACCGCAUAAGACCUACGGGUGAAAGCAGGGGAUCUUCGGACCUUGCGCGAUUGAAUGAGCCGAUGUCGGAUUAGCUAGUUGGCGGGGUAAAGGCCCACCAAGGCGACGAUCCGUAGCUGGUCUGAGAGGAUGAUCAGCCACACUGGAACUGAGACACGGUCCAGACUCCUACGGGAGGCAGCAGUGGGGAAUAUUGGACAAUGGGCGCAAGCCUGAUCCAGCCAUACCGCGUGGGUGAAGAAGGCCUUCGGGUUGUAAAGCCCUUUUGUUGGGAAAGAAAAGCAGCAGGUUAAUACCCCGCUGUUCUGACGGUACCCAAAGAAUAAGCACCGGCUAACUUCGUG